rnacentral:rRNA from 1 species
AAGGAAUAUUGGUCAAUGGACGCAAGUCUGAACCAGCCAUGCCGCGUGAAGGAUGAAGGUCCUCUGGAUUGUAAACUUCUUUUAUCUGGGACGAAAACGGGAUUUUUAUCUCAAUUGACGGUACCAGAGGAAUAAGCACCGGCUAACUCCGUGCCAGCAGCCGCGGUAAUACGGAGGGUGCGAGCGCUAUCCGGAUUUACUGGGUUUAAAGGGUGCGUAGGUGGGCUUAUAAGUCAGUGGUGAAAUCUCCGAGCUUAACUUGGAAACUGCCGUUGAUACUAUAGGUCUUGAAUUAUCUGGAGGUAAGCGGAAUAUGUCAUGUAGCGGUGAAAUGCUUAGAUAUGACAUAGAACACCAAUUGCGAAGGCAGCUUACUACAUAUAAAUUGACGCUGAGGCACGAAAGCGUGGGGAUCAAACA